rnacentral:lncRNA from 1 species
CAGCACCAUCGUAUUUGUUUCAGCGUGGCUGCCCUUUGGGGAUUUGCAGGAAUACUGCAGCAAAUCAUCCUGCAUGCAACGCUGACCUCUGGGAGGCUAACAAAUUGAGGUUCAUCUAUCCCUCCUCCCUCAGCCUGACUUUCAUUUUUUGUUGUUGCUGAUGAGUCUUCAACAGGUCUUUGCUUUCACCAUGUCAAAGAGGAUUAAUGAUGCCUUCCCUUUCCACUGUGUUCCCCACCUGUCAUCU